rnacentral:misc_RNA from 5 species
CAACCCUCAAGCCCGCUGCGCGCUUGCUGUUGGGGGCCGGCUCACCCGCCUCGCGGCGGCGGCCGCCCCCGAAAUGAAUCGGCGGUCUCGUCGCAGCCUCCUUUGCGUAGUAACACACCACCUCGCAACCGGGAGCGCGGCGCGGCCACUGCCGUAAAACGCCCAACUUUCUCCAAGAG